rnacentral:ncRNA from 1 species
AACAAAAUAGGAAAUGGUGUUCUUCCUAAACCAAACCGCUUUAUAAUAGCUGAUGACGCCUGAUUAUUA